UCACUUUGGCAUUGUAUAUAUUAAAAUUGGAACUAUACAAAGAUUAGCAUGGCCCCUGCACAAGGGUGACAUGCAAAGUAGGCAAAUUUUACACUUUAAA
rnacentral:snRNA from 1 species